rnacentral:rRNA from 1 species
AUUGAACGCUGGCGGCAGGCCUAACACAUGCCAGUCGAGCGAGCGGCGGACGGGUGAGUAAUGUCUGGGAAACUUCCUGAUGGAGGGGGAUAACUACUGGAAACGGUAGCUCAUACCCCAUACCAUCAGAUGUGCCCAGAUGGGAUUAGCUAGUAGGUGGGGUAACGGCUCACCUAGGCGCCGCUCCCUAGCUGGUCUGAGAGGAUGACCCACCACACUGGAACUGAGACACGGUCCAGACUCCUACGGGAGGCAGCAGUGGGGAUGAUUGCACAAUGGGCGCAAGCCUGAUGCAGCCAUGCCGCGUGUGUGAAGAAGGCCUUCGGGUUGUAAAGCACUUUCAGCGGGGAGGCGUUACCCGCAGAAGAAGCACCGGCUAACUCCGUGCCAGCAGCCGCGGUAAUAC